CGGGGAGUGGCGCAGUUUGGUAGCCGCUUGCUUUGGGAGCAAGAUGCCGCAGGUUCGAAUCCCUGUCUCCCCGA
rnacentral:tRNA from 1 species